rnacentral:ncRNA from 1 species
UUUAAAACGUUGAAGAGAAGAGUAAGUUAUUAACUUCAUUUUCAGAGAGAGGAUACAUUAGCUGGAAGUAUCUUUAAAUGAUCAUAACUGAAGACCACCUCUGAGUGACUCUAAUAAAGUCCGUAUUUAUCACGUUACGAUAAACUUAAGUGACCUAUAAUAUAUUUCUAUAGGUAAUUAGAGUGGAACCACGGAUAUUUCUUCGUCUCUAUA